GGGGGGGUUGGUUUUGGUCGGAGCGCCGGGAGCUGUCUUCGACGAGGUUCCAACUUCGGUUGAUUGGAGGAAGGCAGAGGCAGUGAUCAACUGUGAAUAUCCUCAUCGGAGCUGGGUUUUCAAGAAGAGUCCCACAUCAGUUAUCAGAUUAACUGGAGUUUGUCACUGGGAGAAGAAUAGCUUCUAGAAAAUUUUCAGACUAUGUUAACUGUUCUAGAGGAUGGUCCUUAUUCCUUUGAAGGCCCUGUUUCUUUCGAUGAUAAUCUUUGACCCAAUGUUGGAUGCAUUUCAGCAUACUCCGAUGGACGAAAAGGGUUUUCUCUUGGAGAUCAUAUAUUCUUAUGAGAUUUUUGAGGGUCAGAGGGCUGAGGAUAUAGAGAUGAAAAAUAAUCUAUCUAGCAUGGUGGCCUAUGAGCUUAUGAAUAACCAGCUUAGCUGAUUCUGCUGCAAGUUUCUUAGUGGAGAUUUAUAUUGAUCCUAGACAUUUCUUCUUUUUAUUUAGAUGCAAGGUUAUGGAUAAUCAUUUAUGCAAGGUUUGAUCCUAGACAUUUCUUAGUCAAGAUGAUCAUGUAUUCGAGGAAGAACAUUUGAUCAUUGCUUCUACAUAUAUGGAGGACCUGAAUAGGUGGAGGUCAUUGUUAACAUUCUUCGAAAUUACAGUUAUUUUGUAGAAUCGACAUA